UGGCCAGUUCAGCCAAGGAGCACGUAAAUAUUUACAAAGCCGAAGUAGAAGAAAAGGUACAUUUUGCAUGCAUGUUUACUUUAAAAAAACUAUGUUUUUGUUUGCAGGAUGAGAUCAAAGAGUGAUGAUAUAUUUGUUUGAGUUAGAGGCAGUAGAGGCAAGGACGAAGGAGGAGAAAAAGAUGGCCAAAGUGCGGAGAAGGAAGCUAGGGCAAAGAUGGAGCUGCAUAAAGCCAAAGCCAGGCAUGCGGAGAAGAAAUUGAGCUCCAGGCAACCCCAUGUUCAUGGCGGCAGCGGCGGCCGCCACCACCACCAACUGCUUUCUGCCGGCACUCGCCAUAUGCAUGGCCACCAGCAUCUGGGAACUGCUGGUCAUCCCACGGCUGGGACACACUAA
rnacentral:lncRNA from 1 species